GAUGGGCGUGCUGGUGGGAGUUGACUGAACAGAUUUUACCAGGUGAUGAAGUCAGCUUCCUCUAGACUCACCUUAGUUGCUUCCCCUCCUUGAUGAACCUUUUCCUUUAAGUCACCCCGGGAAGCAGCAAGACUCCUCCUGCAAGAGAUGAUCAUUCAUGUCAUGACACUGCUGAGGAUUCACAGUACAUCUACACAGGUGCCCUCAGUGCACCAAGGUGCCCCCUCAAGUCUGAAGCUCCUGAGUGACUGGAGUUGGCUCCUCACUACUUUAAUUCUCUCUCAUUUUCUGUGUCCUAGACACAGGACAGUGUCCUAGCACUGAGGGGAGUGGCAUGAGUUACAGCACCAAAACAAAGCCUUCAUCCUAUUGUGAUCACAGGCCCUGAAAAACGUUUAGCUACGGUUUGUUCCUUUGUUUUGGACCUGCCAAUCACAUUGUGGGGCCGAGAUGCUUUGGGACAAUGGGGACUUGAUCUUACUACAAAUUUGUCCUAAUGGCCACUGAACAGCAGCUGGUCCCUGCCCUAACCUGGACAGCAGAUAAGCUGGUUUGAGUGGACCAGUGGCUGAUUAGAAAGGACAAGCUGCAACAUCUUCAAGCCCUCAUUCAAGAACAACUUUUAGCAGGACAUAUUUGUGCUUCUACCAGUCCCUGGAAUUCCCCAGUGUCUCUGAUCCAAAAAAGAAGUGGCAAGUGGCCACUUGCCACUCUGGAACAGGGAUUUGAAUCACAUUUUCCCAGAUACCUUAGCCACUACCAAAUAGGUUUGCAAUGCUUCUUUGUCUGGUUCAGAGUCUGUUUUGCUAUUCAGACCAUGUCGAAAUGCCCUGGCAGGAAGAGAGCCUGGCUCUCAGUCCAGGACUAGCAGUCACCGGGUGCUCAGGGUUCUCUGCUGGUAAGGAAGAUCAUUCUCUGACUGAGAAGAAUCUGCCAAUUAUUCUGAAAUCCUCUCCCGUUGCAUCAGACAUGUGACUCCAUGGAGAAGUUCACAUCUGAGAAGACCCUGGGGAAGAAAUACGGAGGUGCCUAAAGCCCUGCUCCAUCCACUAACAUCUCAUUUCUUACCUAAUCUCUUUGGUACUCUUUUCUAGAAAUCUAAUUCUCUACACAGGUUCUUGGGGAAACCUUUCUUUAGCAAAGACAGCCAAUGAUCCAAUGUCUGUGAUGCUGACCCUAAAUAUGUUUUUUCAAAUGUUGCUGAUGAGCUUUCCUAUCUUCUUCAUGUGCUGCUCAUUG